GUAUCUGUGGCCUAAUGGUUAGAGAGUCAGACUUAUAGCCUGAAAGUAAACUUGAAGGUCGUGGGUUCGAAUCGCAGGUCUGGCAGG